rnacentral:rRNA from 1 species
ACGCGACCCCAGGUUAAGCGGGGCUACCCGCUGAGUUUAAGCAUAACAAUAAGAGGAGGAAAAGAAACUAACAAGGAUUCCCUUAGUAACGGC